CCUGGGAAAGCAUCCACUAAAAGAGCUGUGAAGUGUUCUAGGUACCCUUUAAGCCAGCCAGGGGGAACCAUGGAGAGAUGAGAUGGACUGGGAAAAAGGCAAGACAACUGUCCAGCCCUCCAAUUGAAUUACAUCCUCAAAACUCACGCUCUCGAGCCAGAGCCCUAAUCAUUGGGGGUCAACAGACAAGGUCACUGCUGUCUUCCUGUGUGCAGCCCAGGACCCUUCCUCAGGUUGCUGUGGGGUCGAUGGAGGGCAUCGUAGUGACCAAGCCCUUUCAGAUUGUGACUCGCUGGUCCUGGGCCCACCCUGUCCCACCUCUCAAAGACCUGUGUGGGGAGAAGUUGAAGAAUCAAGUUGGGUCUCACAGGAUGACCUGCCAAACAGGACGUGACCAGCAAUGGCCCCAGCCUUUGACCAGGGUUCCAUCUUCUUAUAGAAUAUUCUUCCCACUCUUGUUAUCACGAGUGAGGCCUGAUCCGUACUGGCUGUCCAUCCUCCCAAAGAUGUUCCUCGUGGCCCAGCCGUGUCAGUCUCCAGCCUAAGCAUGUACGCUGGCCCGAACACACAUCACCACUGACAAACAGCUGCCAAGAUCGAGAGUACCCCAGUAAGUGGUAGGAUCCUUGUAGCAACAAAGCUGGUGCCAAUAGAUGGAAGUGAUGGAAUCAGCGGUCAUUAAAUGUGCCUCCACUAAGAACACUUCAAUUCUCCAUCCUAGUAUAUCAUAAAGAAGACGGAUGUAUCUCUUCGACAUGGAUGUACAGAACAGACUUUUGGACUCUGUGGGAGAGGGUUAGGUGGGAUGAUUUGGAAGAAUGGCAUUGAAACAUGUAUACUAUCAUGUAAGAAACGAAUGGCCAGUCUAGGUUCGAUACAGGAUACAGGAUGCUUGGGGCUGGUGCCCUGGGAUG
ensembl:lncRNA